GAGGAUACAACUCGUAUCCAAGGGGUACGACUCAUGCCCCUAGUCGUACCCAACUCAGAGACACCAAAUGAAGAAGUUCUUCUCAUGGUUCAAAGCUUAUGUGUUUCAAGUAACAACACUAAACCACUAAUAAUCGAACAAUACAUCAACCAAUGACGCCGAACAAUACUCAAGCCACCGAAUAAUGGAUAAAUUCGGUAGUCUCCACCUCUCUCUUCUUUUCUUUACUCCAUUUCCGUCUAUAUCAAUAUCACUCAUUUCUCUUUUCGAUUUUCUAAAGCAAAUAGAGCCAAAAUCUACAAUUUCAGAAAGAGAUAGAGAAAUUGAGUACCCAUGAGUUUCAAGAUAUUUUUUCUAACUGGUUUUAUGGUUCGAGAAUUGAACAUAAUAGCUUGUAUAGAAGUCUAUCAAUUUGGGUGCACAAUGUGGUUGAUAGAAGGGAAACGCUAAAGGUAGUUCUUCCUCUAGAAAGUCAUUUAACUUUCUUGAUAAGCUCAAAUUUGUAGAGAUGCCUGAGUGGAAGCAGUGGUAUGUAGUGGGGAAGGGAGGGUUCCGUAUACUUGAGGAACUUUCAAUUGAAAAUUGUACCAAGUUGCCUGAAAAUUUUUCUUUUUCUGACAUAAUUAUCUCUUUGUGAUUGUAAUUUUUUACGAUCUAAGCUGGGGCACUGGCCAUGAUGAGCUCCCGAACCUAUGAAGGCUUGAGAAAACUCCUUAAUUUGAAAUUGCAAUUUUGCCUAUACAAAAGAGGGCUUGGAGAAUUUUGGGGGAAUAUAUUGAGUUCUUUCGUACUCUUUCAUUCACUAACUUCUCUAUUAUUCUUUGCUUUCUUUAUUUUGAUCUCCGACGAACUUCUAUCGCUCUCACCAUUUUUGUCCCGACACCCGAAGUAGAAGUUCGUGGUGAAGAACCUCUUCGACUCGCCGUCUCUGUUCGCUGCUCCGAAAAAGGUAACCUCUUUUUCAUUUUAAGCGCAGUAUUUUUCAUUUAUGUUGUAACCUCUAAGCCUCACCCUCAUUUUUUUCUUCUUCUUUAAUUUCGUUUUCUAUUAUUCUUGCCAUUUGGUUGUUGUUUGCCUUUCAUAUAGCUAUGUUAUGGUCAGAUUUUAUUCGUUGCUUUGGCUGACAUUAUGAGAUGAAAUGGGAACAUUCCAUGGUGUUACCGUCUUUCUCUUUUUGUCUUUGGAUACUUUCACUCCCCAUGAAAUGCUCUAGUUUGGUUGGUCCUCUCUUGAUUAAUACGAAUCAUUAUAUUUGGCUCAAGUAUAAGGUGAAGAAAGUGCUAACAUAAGCAUCAAGUUUGCACGAUGAACAUCCUUUGAUGUCCAUCGUUUUCUAUCCCUCUCUUCAUCUCGGAAACUUGUAAAUUUUCCUUCCCUGACACUCUUCAUUUGUUUCUUAGAUGAAUUAUUUAUAACUUUUGAAAGUUCCUUUUUUUAUUUGAGGAGAAUGAGUUUAAGUUUAUACUCAUGGUACUCCCUAAAUAGAAUGACCACGGUUUGUUAGACUUGUCAUUUUGGUAGUGUUCUUAUAGUUACACGUUUAGUAUAAAACUAGAUAUUGUUCACGGGCCCAAUGUAUCUAGUUUUGAAAGAAAAAAUACUAUCUUUCUCAUUUGUAGUAUGUUUAUCAUGAACAAACAUUAUCUAAUAUACAAUAAAGAACAAUGACAUAAGCUAUAGUAAUACUCUUUUUAACUACUUUUUAUAAAUACGUAAAAAAUCCAAAAGUAUAAAUACUACAAUGUAUGUCACUAUAAAAGUUUCGUUUUAGAUUGCUUACUUCUGUUCAUAUUUUUUGAAGUGUGCUAAUAAAUUUUAUCAGAUUUACACCACUAUAAACAUUCCACGUGGCAAUGGAUUCUAACUUUUCAUAAAGAUAUUAAAUAUCUCCCUCUCAUUCAUCUAAAGAUUUAAAGUCUAAAACGCGUCCCAAAGCUUUGAAGCAGCCUUAGUCCAAAAACAGGUGGUUGCUUUCCUUCAUAUCUUCUUCACACAUGUAACCGAGUGAAUAAGUUGCGGUCUUCUCUUUUUCUUUUUGUAAAUAUAACCACGUGAAACAGGUUCACAGGCCACCAGUAUCCACAAUGUUUUGAAGGGUGCUUCAACAAAAUUAUCUAUGCAAAAAUAGUACUUUAAUUAUUUUUAUACACAACUAAAAGAAGAGGUAAGAAAUAGAGUAAAUAUCGAAAUUAAUUCCCAGCAACAGUGCAAAUAGGCCAAGAGGAGCUGAAGCUUCUCCUUUUGGUAUUAUUUGAAAAGAAGCAAUUGCAGAUUCACCACAAAAUGAUACUACUUGCAGAUUUACAAAUGUAAUUCUUUUCUUUUAAAAGUAUGACAGAAUUAUUGGAGAUUGUUUCUUCGUUUAGGCCACCUCAUUUUUGUUGCAUGAUGUAUUUAGGGUAUGAAAUAUCAACAAUUCACCAAUAUGAAAUCUCGCGAAGUACAAACAAACAAGUGAUGUGCUAUACAUUUCUUUUUCAAGAAUGAGCAAAUUUGUUAAAUACUACCCAACAACAAUAACAACAUACUCAGUGUAUUCAAUCAAAUUAAAUUUUUGCUAUUGAAUUCAUGACAAAAAUUGAAUUUGGAGGCCAGCUUGAAGGAUGCAAAGAAAAAAAGAGAAGCAAUCCAAGAGCAAAAAUUGAGUUUAGCCAAAAAGUGUUUAGAAAAAUCUAUUACUCUCGAUGAAAUUGAACAAACAGAUGACUAGCAAGUGCAACAGACGCCACUGCUGAUGGAAAAACAAACUGAUAUAUCCAUUUGUUGCAACAGAUUGUCCAUAUGUUGUAUUGUAAGUUAUCUGACAGGUAAAAUAUAUUUUGCAACAGAUUACCAAUCAACAGAUUACCAAUCUGUCUCUUUCCGAAAUCCAAUAAAAAGAUAAAAUGUUGUAUUUAGAUCCGUUUUUUUUUUAAUUUGCAUAUUCGAAAAGUCACCAGUUUUAUUUAAUUAAGGGAUAUGAACAGUCAUGGCUUUUUAUUUGACUAAGUCAAGUCACCACCACUUCCAAUUAAAUCAUUUUGUCAUUGUGGUCGUUAAGCUCAGUAUAGAGCUCUUGAUCUUUUAUGAGUUUGUCAACGAGGACCACUCUCUUUCUCGGCAGCUUUCUUAUAAUACUCCUCUUGGUCCUUCUUAGCUCUACGUAGGGUCAAGGAGAAGUAUGGAAGGUUCUCUUUGAGUUUUUCCAAGGCAAGCGUUCUCUCAGCUGAUAAAUCCUGUGUUGCAGCAUAUAUGGAUAGUGCAACACUCAAUGCAGAACAGUUUUUUGGUAAAAGCAAGUCUUGAGAAGACAUAAUCAGUAAUCUAUCAAUAUCAGCUUUCGUUGUGUCAAGCAGUUCUGUUGAUAUCUUGUCCUCUGCGGAGAAGAUUGAUUAGUAGAAAAACCAAGUGAUUGAGAUCGUUUAAUUUGUUGACUAACUCGAGCAAAGACAUCUUCUGGAUUAUCAAACUUUACAAGGCAGUUUGGUGGUUCAAUAACAUCAGAUGUCUUGUUUCCGGUGUUAGCUAAUGAUAGGGAGAUUCUGCCUUCCUCACCAUCCUGAAAAGAAAAAACACUCAAAAUUAGAUGGAGUAUCUCUACAUAAGACAAGAUGAACUAAAUCUAUCAUUCAGUUUUUCCUUUCUAUUCCCCACCCUUUUUUACCUUCUCACCUUUAUCAGAUUCGAACUUUUUCUUUUUUUUUUGGAUACUUGAUAAUGCUUUGGAAAUUGCUUUCUUUCUCCUUUUAGCCUUAAUCUCUAAUGGAGUGAAUGAAACUGAAAUCCUCUAUGAUCGAAUGACGCUACUGUUAGAUAUCAAUUUCUUUACAUUAGCAGUUAAUGCAUUAACAGUAUUAAUCACACCAUCAUGCUUCACAUUUGCAUGCACAAGAUAAGCAAUGAGGGAUAAGAUUGAUCAUUCUUCUACCAUAUAGAGGACAACAUAUCCGUCAUGCAAAAGUCUACACCAUUGCCAGAAAUGCUUGCCACAACGAAAGUCUGUAGAAAGCAUGACAAAUAAACAUGAGCAACAUCUGACAUUAAAUCUUAACAAAGUAUCAGAACCAUAUUCAUGGUCCCUCAGCCUUAUCAGUUCGGACCUACCAAACUUAACUGUAAAAUUGCAAAUAUCUUGUUUGAAUGAUCUAUGACUAAUCGGUAAAAACAACAUUCACAAAAUCACUGUACUCUAUGUGUCUUUCCAUGAUAACAUUAUCAGUAAUACAUACCUCCCACAUAUGAAGUGGUUUCAUCUGCAUGCAGCUUAUUCCUCUGAACCUAUCUUUACUGCAGCCUCUUGUGAUGGUCAGACAAAAGUUGAUUAACUUUCAGUUCCUUUUAUAUCUACAAAGAAGAAGGAAAAAAUUUAUGUCAUAAAAAGAAAAUUAUCCUUCAGUUACAUCAGAUGAGGAGUCUGUUGUGUCAGAUGUGGAGUCUGUUGCGUCAGAUGUGGAGUCUGAUACAACAGAUAUGAAGUCUGUUGGAAUACAUAGCAGCCUUACUGGUGGUUUGAUUUGUUCCAACAGUUGCUCCGUCUGUUGCAACAUCAACAACAGCAUAAACUACAAGCAACAAAGAAAAGAACAACAUUUGUUCUAACAUCAUCAUCAAUAACAAAGAAGCAUGCAUCCUAUGUUCCAACACCAUCAACAACCAGGGACGGACCCACAUGGAGUCCUCCGGGUGCGCGAGCACAGACUGAACUCGUAUCGAACUUUAUAUAUGUAUAUGAAAAUUAAGAAAAAACGUAUAUAAUCUAAUCAGUGAGCACCCAUAGUAAGAGUUGUUUGGUUAGCCUAGUUGUUGUUUAUGGGUGCUUAAAGCUAUUUAUUUCUUUUGGACUUGAGUUCGAUUCCCACUCAGCACAUAUUUUUUUAAUUUGUUUACCAACUCUUCUCUCCUUAUUCACUUUAAACUUUCUUUUAUUUUUUCUCUCUUAUUCCUUGUGUUGAUUGUUCGGACUCUAUUAUUUUUAAGCUAAGAAACACCCACCGUCUAAAAAACCUGGAUCCGCCACUGUCAACAACACCAUACCACAAGUUACAACAACGCCAACCCCACCAACAACAUCAAUAACAACAUCAACAACAAAGAAACAAACAAAAUACAUUAAAAAAUGAUACUGCCAAUAAGACUUUUAAACUUCUCCUAACAGAUAACUUUUUUUCGCAUCUUGUAAUAAAAAUUCUCGGUUCGUUUAUUCAACAAUUAAAAGUUCCUUCAAAUUUUUAAAUAAAUAUGAUAUUGAACAAUGGUAAUUAAAUUAAAAAAAUGUAAAUAACUUGCAAGAAGAAGACGAGAAUGAAAGAGCAACAGUGAAUCAUAUCAUAUCUUAAUGUCAAAAGGGGGUCAAAACAACAAUUUUAGUCGAGGAAUCUAAGAUAUGGAUAUGGAUCAGUUUAGAUUCGAACGAAAAUUUAUGAGAAAGAUGAGAGAAAAAAAAGUUGUGAUAACCCUAAAGAGGAUAAAAAGAAAAAAGAUAAGAGACGAAUAAAAUAAAUUUAGGGCUGAAGGAGAGAAGAGGAAAGAUGAGAUAAUUCUAAUUUCUAGAUGUACUAUCCUUAAUAUUAAAUGACUAAACAAAGUGUAUUUAUUCAAAUUUAUAUUUUCAAAACAUAAUUAAUAAGGCUAAUUUGGUAGUAAAAUAAACCCCUGAUUAAUAUUUUCUUAAUGGAUGUGCCAAGUCAAUAUGAAACGAAAGAAAUAUUAGGGGUUUCAAUAUUCAUUAAUUAAUAUUCACUAAUAAUUUGAGGGGCACGAGGAAGAAAAUGGGUGACAUGGAAAAGACAGGACAAGAGUACUCAAUGAGAUUUUUGAGUUAUCCAAGAAACAUUUUUACCGCCUUUAAUAGUACUACUACUUUAUCUAUUCGGACAGUAGCUUGUUUUAAAACUAAAAGAAAAAAAAUAUUUUUAAACUGAUAUGUCGUUUGUUGCAACAGAUUUAAAUAUCUGUUUGAAAAAUUCCAACAACUCAGUUAUCUAUGACAACAGAUGGAAAUGUCCAUUUGAUAACUAAAUCAAAAAUGUCAUCUGUUACAACAGGUAUCAAUAUCUGUUUAAAAAUUUUCAACAGCUCAGUCAUCCGUCAUAACAGAUGCAAAUGUCUAUUUGAUAAUUAAAUUUGAUAGGUCAUCUGUUGCAACAGAUAUUGUUAUCUGUUUGAAAUUCUCUAACAGCUCAGUCGUUUGUUGCAACAGAUUUCAUUGCAAUUGAUUUAGGUGAAACUAGGAAUGAAAGAAUGAGCUUCUCAUUAAUGUUAAGAUUAAUAAUAGUACCUACAUUGAUCCAGGUGGAAUUUGGGAUGGAUGAAUAAGCUCAAAUGGUCAACUACAACUUCAAUUGAGUCUUUUGGCAAUUGCAUGAUGAGACGGUACUGCAUUCCUCGUGACAAGAGUUAUCGAUCGAUCACUCUAAGUUGAAAUGAGUUCUCAUUAACUUAAUGUUAAGAUUAAUAAUAGUACCUACAUUGAUCCAGGUGGAAUUUGGGAUGGAUGAAUAAGCUCAAAUGGUCAACUACAACUUCAAUUGAGUCUUUUGGCAAUUGCAUGAUGAGACGGUACUGCAUUCCUCGUGACAAGAGUUAUCGAUCGAUCACUCUGAGACGAAAUGAUUCUUACUACCUUGUAUGUUCAACUAAUACAUUAAUUGAAUAAUCUGAGACUAGGGGUGAGUUCUCAUAGGGUCAGCUACAACUUCAAUUGAGUCUUUUGGCAAUUGUAUGAUGAGACGGGACUGCGUUCCUCCCGACAAGAAUCGUCGAUCGAUUACUCUGAGCCGAACCGAUUCUUACUACCUCAUAUGUUCAACUAAUACCUUAAUUGAUUAAUCUAGGACUAGGGGUGAGUUCUCAUAAUGCCAACUACAAUAGAUGACAAUGCCUAUUUGAUAAUUUACAACAGAUGGGUAAUUUAUUGCGACAUUGACUUAAUCCAUUUGAUAAUUUACAACAGAUGGGUAAUCUGUCGCAACAGAUACUUAAACUGUUUGAUAGUUUACAACAGAUUCGUGAUAUGUCGCAACAAAUGACGUAAUCUGUUUGAUAGUUUACAAUAAAUGCGUAAUAUGUUGCAACAGAUUACAUAAUCUGUUUGAUUUGAUCCAACAGAAAAGACAUCUGUUGCAAUAGGUUGAACAUUUGUUUAUAUAUAAUUCAAUUGAGUUCAUAUGUUAGACUAAUAUCUUAAUUGAAUGUGAGUUUUCAUAGGGUCAACUACAACUUCAAUUCAGUCUUUUGGCAAUUGCAUGAUGAGACGGUACUGCGUUCCUCCCGACCAGAGUCGUCGAUCGAUCACUCUGAGCCGAAUCGAUUUUUACUACCUCAUAUAUUAGACUAAUACCUUAAUUGAUUAAUCUAGGACUAGGGUACUGAUACCUUAAUUGAAUAAUCUAGGACUAGGGGUGAGUUCUCAUAGGGUCAACUAUAACUUCAAUUGAGUCUUUUGGCAAUUGCAUGAUGAGACGGUGUUGCGUUCCUCCCGACUAGAGUCGUCGAUCAAUCACUCUGAGUCGAACCGAUUCCUACUACCUCAUAUGUUAGACUAAUACCUUAAUUGAUUAAUCUAGGACUAGGGUACUAAUACCUUAAUUGAAUAAUCUAGGACUAGGGGUGAGUUCUUAUAGGAUAAACUAUCGAUUAAUCUAGGACUAGGGGUGAGUUCUCUUAGGGUCAGCCACAACAGAUGACAACGCCUAUUUGAUAAUUUGCAACAUAUGAGUAAUCUGUUGCGACAUAUGACAAUCCAUUUGAUAAUUUACAACAGAUUCGUAAUAUGUUGUUACCUAAUCUGAUUGAUAAUUUACAAUAGAUGAGAAAUCUGACGCAACAUGUUGAACAUUUGGUUUUUACAAUUUCAAUUGAGAUCAUAUGUUAGACUAAUAGUACCUAAAGUGAUUAAUCUAGGACCAGAGAUGAGUUUUCAUAGGGUCAACUAGAGUAGUCGGUCAAGUACAACUUCAAUUAUUUUUAUACAAUUUCAAUUGAAUUACCCUCUUGACAAUUGCAUGAUAAGAGGGUUAAAAAUUACGCAUAUAGUUUAUGAUUUUAAAAAUAAUUAAGAUCAUUCAGACCAAAUUAACAUUUUCAAAACUACUUGUCAUUCUUUUCCAAAAUACAAAUCAACCCAUACAAAACGUUUCAUCAUUUCAAAUCUCGAGGUCUCUCUCUCAUUCUUACUCAGCAAUACAGUACAGACAACAACUACUCAACAAAUUUGCUCAACCCUCCAUAAUAGAUCACUUUUCUUCUCAUUUCCGACCACAUAGGUGUUAUAUUUGACUUCAUUCUUGCUUGUAUCAGUCGUUUUCUUUGUCUUCGUAGGCAACAGAGUUCGAGAAGAGCUCUAUAUUUGUUAUUUUUUUUUUCUAAAAAAUAAGGACUUUUAAGUUAAUGAUGAAAAAUAAAACUUUUAGUUGUAUUAUCUUCGAGAAUGAGUUUACAAUUUUGGGUUUUGAUGAUAAAAUUAUAGGAAAAACUCAAGAAGUUCCUAAUUUCCGUUGCAGUGUUCUGUUGACUGUCGUAGUAUUGUUGAAUGGUGUUUGUGGUGUUGGUGGUGGUGGUGGUAGUGGUGUUUGUGGUCGUCGUGGUGGCAUUGGUUGAUGGUGUUUAUGGUGGCUGUCGGUGGUGUCGGUAUUCGUGGUGUUUAUUUGUUUGUUGGCAUUGGUUGUGGGUGUUUGUGGUGGUGGCUGUUGGUGUGUCGGUAUUCGUGGUGUUUGUAAUGUAUUUUUUAAAAUCUAUGCAUACAUUAAUUGUAAUGUAAUUUUUAUUUUUCUUUGUCUGUAGGUAAAACAUGUCUCCCAAAAGAAAAGAAAGUGAAAGUGGAUCAACGUCUGACCAAUAAAAAAAAGGCUACAGUACAGAGGGAUUCGGAGGAGCUUCCUGAACAAUCUCAAUCAGGAAAAAGUGAAGCUGGGGAGAGAUGUGAAAACAACGUUGAGGGAGGUGGACGAGGGUCAGUAGAUGGUGAUGAAGAAAAUGAAAGUAAGAAAGAGGAGAAAUUAGAGAGUGAGAAAGAGAAAGAGGAUGAUCAUCAACAUGAUGAUAAUGGAUCACCGAUGGGGCGUGAAUUAAUAUCGACAUCCCAGCAUGAUCCUGUCAAAACUUUUAGUAUUGACAGGUUUCAAGUUGUGAUGCCGAUAAAUGACCCAGAAGGAAAACAACUAACUGGUCAAAUUGUACUUAAAUGUCAGAUGGGGAAAAUUUUUGAACAUUUUAUGAAAAUUAUGAAGCACAAAAAUAUAGGCGG
rnacentral:lncRNA from 1 species